UGUCUAUUAAUUGUAGACCUGUAUGAAAGGCAAAAUGAGGGUUUAACUGUCUCUUAUAAUAAAUCGAUUAAACUGAUCUACCAGUAAAAAAGCUGGAAUACUCACAUAAGACCAGAAGACCCUGUGAAGCUUUAACUAAACUAUUAAACCCUAUAAUAACUACUUUGGGUUGGGGCGACCUUGGAAAAAAAAAGAACUUCCAAAGAAAAUGAUUAUAACUCAUACCCUAUUAGGCCUACAAGCCACCAAACGACCCAGCACAGCUGAUAAUUGAACCAAGUUACUCCAGGGAUAACAGCGCCAUCUUCUUCAAGAGCCCAUAUCAAAAAGAAGGUUUACGACCUCGAUGUUGGAUCAGGACAUCCUAAUGGUGCA
rnacentral:rRNA from 1 species